CAAUCGACCAAAAGUAUUAAAAAAAAAACCACAACAUUGGCUUGGCAGAUUGUUUUUCGAGGUCUGUACCUAAAUCAGAAUUGGGAGACGGGUCGUGACUCGUCGGUACUUGUACUGAUUUGUUAAAAAAAGUCGGAUAAAUUUCAUACAGAGAGUAAGCCAUUGUUGCUGACGGGUAAAUCGGAAAGUAUGAUUUACAGGGCGAUUUCGUUGUUGAUGAAAGACGAUCCCGAACGAAGUAGUAUAUUUGUGUUUUCCCCUGGUUGUCAGAAAUGAACUGAAAUCAAAAAAAAGCACCAAAUAGCAUUCUGCUGCAAAAAGUUUUCUAGACAU